rnacentral:rRNA from 1 species
UACGGGGGGGGGGCAAGCGUUGUUCGGAAUUACUGGGCGUAAAGGCUCGUAGGUGGCCAACUAAGUCGGACGUGAAAUCCCUCGGCUUAACCGGGGAACUGCGUCUGAUACUGGAUGGCUUGAGUUCGGGAGAGGGAUGCGGAAUUCCAGGUGUAGCGGUGAAAUGCGCAGAUAUCAGGAGGAACACCGGUGGCGAAGGCGGGUCUCUGGGCCGAUACUGACGCUGAGGAGCGAAAGCGUGGGGAGCGAACAGG